rnacentral:rRNA from 1 species
UGGGGAAUAUUGCACAAUGGGGGAAACCCUGAUGCAGCGACGCCGCGUGAACGAAGAAGGUAUUCGUAUCGUAAAGUUCUGUCCUAUGGGAAGAUAAUGACAGUACCAUAGAAGAAAGCUCCGGCUAAAUACGUGCCAGCAGCCGCGGUAAUACGUAUGGAGCGAGCGUUGUCCGGAAUUAUUGGGCGUAAAGGGUACGCAGGCGGUUUAAUAAGUCGAAUGUUAAAGAUCGGGGCCCAACCCCGUAAAGCAUUGGAAACUGAUAAACUUGAGUAGUGGAGAGGAAAGUGGAAUUCCUAGUGUAGUGGUGAAAUACGUAGAUAUUAGGAGGAAUACCAGUAGCGAAGGCGACUUUCUGGACACAAACUGACGCUGAGGUACGAAAGCGUGGGGAGCAAAAAGG